rnacentral:lncRNA from 1 species
GAAAAAAAAAAGACAAGCCAUGAGGGGACAUGAGUAGUGUGGUGGGGAGGGCCCGCUGGCCUGCCUGGGUGGGGGCUGAGGAGCAGAGGCCGGAUGCUGAGGAGGGGCAGGAGCCACAUUCGAGGCCUCCUGCCGGCUGAGGGGCUGGGUGGGUUCCACCUGAGGAGGCGCCACGACUCUGCCCACCCCGGCUCCCAUCUCUUCCAGGCUCCUCUGGACCCUUCCCGCUGCCCAGCGCUGGGGACGCCUUCCUCACCCUGCGGACUCUGGCCUCUCUCCAGCCUCCUCCUGGGGGAGGCUGCCUGCAGUCCCAGGCCCAGGGUAGCUGGCAGGGGGCCACCCCCCAACCUGCAACUGCCUCACCUGCUGGAGACCCUGGCAGCAUCAACUCCAGUACAUCUAAUUAAGUUUGGGGGAUAAGCAGGAAAGAGCGCUGCGUGAGCUGCCAUGUAUCGCCAGCCGUUGCUUUGUUACUGAACGUGCCGCCGACGACCUCAGAAAACCCAGAUGGGUGGUGGUGCCCAUGAGCCCCUGCUCCUCAGCCAGGCCCGUGGCGCCGGCUCAUGUGUCUGCUGCGACUCGAGAUGGCCUGAAACGCCACUCAUUCUCCCACUUCAGUUCGUUUUUUUGACAGUAAUUUUAUGGUAACGCUAUGAAUUGAAUUGUCUGUUCUAGGACUGGGCACAGAUUUUCCCAUUAAAAUUUUUGACUUAUUUUAA